rnacentral:rRNA from 1 species
GACGAACGCUGGCGGCGUGCUUAACACAUGCAAGUCGAACGGUGAAGGGGAGCUUGCUCCCCGGAUCAGUGGCGAACGGUGAGUAACACGUGGGCAACCUGCCCCAGACUUCGGGAUAACGCUUCGAAAGAGGUGCUAAUACCGGAUACGAACUCCUUGGGCAUCCCGGGAGUUGGAAAGUUUUUUCGGUCUGGGAUGGGCCCGCGGCCUAUCAGCUUGUUGGUGAGGUAACGGCUCACCAAGGCGACGACGGGUAGCCGGCCUGAGAGGGCGACCCGCCACACUGGGACUGAGACACGGCCCAGACUCCUACGGGAGGCAGCAGUGGGGAAUAUUGCGCAAUGGGCGAAAGCCUGACGCAGCAACGCCGCGUGAGGGAUGACGGCCUCGGGUUGUAAACCUCUUUCUAGCAGGAAGAAG